ACUGCUUCUCAGCCCUUUGGCUAAGAUCAAGUGUAGUAUCUGUUCUUAUCAGUUUCAUAUCCAAUAUGUCCUCUAUAGAGAAGCAGCAUGGCCUAGUGGAAAGUGCACAGGCCUGGAAGUCAGUGGACCUGGGUUCCAAUCCCAGCUCUGCCUCAUGUCUGCUGUGUGACCUUGGGCAAGUCACUU